rnacentral:rRNA from 1 species
UAGAGUUUGAUCCUGGCUCAGAUUGAACGCUGGCGGCAUGCCUUACACAUGCAAGUCGAACGGUAACAGGUCUUCGGAUGCUGACGAGUGGCGAACGGGUGAGUAAUACAUCGGAACGUGCCCGAGAGUGGGGGAUAACGAGGCGAAAGCUUUGCUAAUACCGCAUACGAUCUCAGGAUGAAAGCAGGGGACCGCAAGGCCUUGCGCUCACGGAGCGGCCGAUGGCAGAUUAGGUAGUUGGUGGGAUAAAAGCUUACCAAGCCAACGAUNUGUAGCUGGNCUGAGAGGAUGAUCAGNCACACUGNGACUGAGACACGGNCCAGACNCCUACGGGNGGNAGC